CAGCCCCGCGGUAAUACGGAGGGGGCUAGCGUUGUUCGGAAUUACUGGGCGUAAAGCGCACGUAGGCGGCUUGGUAAGUUAGAGGUGAAAGCCUGGAGCUCAACUCCAGAAUUGCCUUUAAGACUGCCGAGCUAGCAGGUGAGAGAGGUAAGUGGAAUUCCGAGUGUAGAGGUGAAAUUCGUAGAUAUUCGGAAGAACACCAGUGGCGAAGGCGGCUUACUGGCUCAUACUGGACGCUGAGGUGCGAAAGCGUGGGAAGCAAACAGGAUUAGAUACCCCCGUAGUCCCUGUCUCUUAUACA
rnacentral:rRNA from 1 species